GCAUACAUGGGCUAGUCUGAGACCUCUGCUACAUAUGUAGCAGAGGACUGCCUUGUCUGGCCUCAGUGAGAGGAGAUGCAUUUGGUCCUGUGGCGGCUUGAUGCCUCAGAGAAGGGGCAUGCUAGACAGAAAACAACAAAGUCACCUGAGGAAAUUAUACCAAUCAAACAACAAGCAGGGAUGUGAGCUUGUGGUAUGUGCUUUGAGGAAUGUACCAAAGACAAUGAUGUGAGCUGAAUCCAGGGGAAGCAGUUGAAAGACUCCCCUAAAGGAACAAAAUGACAAAGGUUCAACACUUGAGAAAUUAAGUAAGAAAGUUGCCAUGGAGGAAUUCAGUUCUACCCAGAUGGAACAUUUGGGAACUCGCAGCUUGGCAUUGCCACGUCCUAUCGGCAAGAGUAGUGGUGCAGAUGGUACCUUUCCAUCUCUGUGAUGCGCCAGCACAGGCAGGGCGUCCAGCUGUCUGCACCACCCCCACAUCAGCUCCAAGAUUACAUAGAGGAAGAACACACCGCUUGAGUUAAGUGGGAGACCCUUAGGAAAUUUUAUUCCUUAAGGCUCAGACAUUACUAACAUUGUAAAGUUUCUUCUUGAAGGAAGCAGAUGGGAUUGCCUGACCAUGACUUUUAUCUGCUGUUUUUUGAUGCUAGGAAUCAAACCCAAAGCCUUAAGCAUGGUGGCUAUGACAUUUUAAUCAAGCCUAUGAUUGAAGCAUAACAUACAGAAAGAAUGGUGAGAAGAUUCCAUAUCGAAAGGCUCAGCAAGCUGACACUCACUGAAUACCUCCAUGUAACCAGCAUUUAUGCCAAUACCAGGAUAUUAGCAGUAUCCUAGAAACUUCCCUCCAACUUGCUUUAGUCACUGACCAUUCACCUCAAAUGGAAACUACUGAUUUGACUUCUAACAGUAUGGAUUUGUUUCUUCUGUUUUUGAAAUUCAUAUACAUGGGUUAAUCAAUGUGUUCUCCUGUAUUUGUCUUUCUCCAUUCUACAUCAUGCUAGUGAUGAUUAUACAUGCUACAUCAGCCUGUCUUUAAAGUUUACUCGCUCUUAUUGUUGUUUGUCUCCCAUGUUUUUUAAAUUUAUU